rnacentral:rRNA from 1 species
UACGGAGGGUGCAAGCGUUAUCCGGAUUCACUGGGUUUAAAGGGUGCGUAGGCGGGUAUAUAAGUCAGUGGUGAAAUCCUAUCGCUUAACGAUAGACGUGCCAUUGAUACUGUAGGACUUGAGUACAGAUGCCGUUGGCGGAAUGUGUCAUGUAGCGGUGAAAUGCAUAGAUAUGACACAGAACACCGAUUGCGAAGGCAGCUGACGAAACUGUAACUGACGCUGAGGCUCGAAAGCGUGGGGAUCAAACAGG